UACGGGGGGGGCAAGCGUUGUUCGGAAUUACUGGGCGUAAAGGGCUCGUAGGUGGCCAACUAAGUCAGACGUGAAAUCCCUCAGCUUAACUGGGGAACUGCGUCUGAUACUGGAUGGCUUGAGUUUGGGAGAGGGAUGCGGAAUUCCAGGUGUAGCGGUGAAAUGCGUAGAUAUCUGGAGGAACACCGGUGGCGAAAGCGCUCAUCUGGCCCGAUACUGACGCUGAAGCACGAAAGCUAGGGGAGCAAACGGG
rnacentral:rRNA from 1 species